UACAGAGGUCCCAAGCGUUGUUCGGAUUCAUUGGGCGUAAAGAGCUCGUAGGCGGUUUGUCGCGUCUGCCGUGAAAGUCCGGGGCUCAACUCCGGAUCUGCGGUGGGUACGGGCAGACUAGAGUGAUGUAGGGGAGACUGGAAUUCCUGGUGUAGCGGUGAAAUGCGCAGAUAUCAGGAGGAACACCGAUGGCGAAGGCAGGUCUCUGGGCAUUAACUGACGCUGAGGAGCGAAAGCAUGGGGAGCGAACAGG
rnacentral:rRNA from 1 species